AUAGUCGUUUCUGAGAUCUUCUGGUACUAUCCCCAAAGUCUGGGUUACUUUGUUCCUAUGGUGGGUAUGUACUCAGGGACCAAUAACUCUGCCUAGAAUGGGGAAGAAAGGUAAUCCUUUUUUCCCUGAGAUUAAGGAGGAGCAGGGAGAGAGGUUUUGAGGUCACAUAUAUUUACAUUUGGUUUUCUUCUAAGAGUUUUAUUGUUAUAGCUCUUACAUUUAGGUCGUGCAUUCAUUUUGAUUUAAUUUGUGUGUGCAUUGAGAACUAUGUCAAUAAUUUUAAGAGUGUAAAGGUGUACUGAGAGCUAAGUGUUUGAGAAUCACUGAUCUACCUUCUCUUAGUCUCACUUUUCUCAUCUUUAAUAUGGUGACUAUAUGUGACUUAAGACCUCACAGGGUAUUUAUAAAGUCAACAGAGGCAAUAUGAAUGCCUAGCAAUCAAUACUGUCAUCACCUAGGUAUGUGUGUACUCAUCUAUUACAUUAUCCUUGAGUUCUUUCUCUUCUCCACCUGCUAUAGCAGCUUCCUUAUAAUAGACGUGAAGAUCCUCAUCAAAUACUGAUGAAGUGACCAACAGAGCAAAACCAGUCUUACCUGUAUUCUUGGAAACAGAGGGGUGGGGAAGAGAGAAGUUGACUUUUUGUGGAAGCACUCUCUAGCCACUACUUAAGCUUGUAGUUAGCAAAACUCAUACUCUUUUUUUAUAUGAUGGUUAAACAGAGCCUUCACCAUUCUAUGAUGGUGAAAUAAUAUUUGGAAUAAAACAGGAAUUUAAAAGUAUCCCCAGUAAAUUCCAUUUAUUUGUUCAUCUUAACUUUGGGAAUUAUUAAGACAUUUGAAUCCCAACUAUUCGUCAAAGAUAUCAGAUGUUGCUUUUUGCUUUGUUUAACUGAAAAAGAGAUAAUUAUGCCUUCGCUAUCAGAGAUAAGAGGUUAACCUACAUCAGAGACAAGGAACUAGUGGAUGUUUGUUUUGAAAAAAAUCUAAAAUGAGACUCUUCUCUCUGAGUACUGUGUAAUGAGUGGAUGAGCACACCUGGUCUAUCAGUGUCAUUCCAACUAUUUUGUUCCAAACAGGUCCCUUGUUUAUAUCAAGGAAAGUCAGAGCCAGUGGAAUUGCUAGUAAAGAAAAAGAGGAGGGCUGGGGCUGUAGCUUAGUGGUAGAGCUCCUGCCUUGCAUGUGUGAGGCACUGGGUUCCAUCCUCAGCAACACAUAAAAAUGAAUAAAUAAAGAUAUUAAAAAAAGAAAAAGGGGAAAUAUGAUACAAUUUGGUAGGCAAAUGGAAUUAUUCUGUAUAAAAAUAACCAUAGCUAAAAGUACCUCUCCCUUUUAUCCCCAGGGAAAGCAACACAGUGAAGUGAAAGGGUAGCAAAGGUUUCUGUUACCCAAGUGUUAAAGACUUGCAGUCUGUCCCCCCUAAGGCAGAUAGACCCCAAGAAUAUCCCAGCCUGUACAGGAGGAGAACCUAGAGAAAGCAAUGGGAGAAGGUGUAUUUAGAAUCAAGGUUUUUUUGGGGAUGAGGAUAUUCUUUGAAAAGAAAGUAAGAAAGAGGAAACACAUGAGGAUUGAGUCAGCCUGGUUUUGAUAGUUGUAACUUUAAUACAAACUUAAGUUGUGCAAGGAGAAGUCAUCUGGAGUCAGUGAACUGAAGCUGACCCCAGGCUUCUCACAUGAUCCUGACAGAGCAGAUCCCAGGCCUUCCAGUCUCCCUUUCCCUUUCUCACUAGCCUUGUUUGGGUAUUGGGGUGAAAGUGGAUGGGGUGAGAAAAGCAGGUGACAACUGAAAUAAGACAGUGUCAUAAGAGUUUUGGGGAGGAGUGUCUAGUGGGCUAUGUUCACUUUAAAAUCUCCUGUAGUUUCUUGGUAUUUUGUUUUGAUUUUAUAUCUACAAAGUACUUGUGUAUAAUUUAAAAAACUGAAUAGUUUUUUGUUGUUGAUUAUAAAAAAAAAUAGCAUUUCAUCCUCCUCUCCUAACCAUUUUCUGUUCUCCAGAACAGAAGUUUUAACCUCUUAGAAGUUUUUGUAGCUGAUUUCUUUUGACAUUUCCCUCUGAAUCUCUAAGUGACAUGCUUAUGUGUCGAUUCACUGACUUAUUAUAGUUUGGAGACUAUUUUUCUUCUCUCUCCAUAAUCUCUUGUCUCUUGUGUUCCAAGGUUUUGGGGUUUGUUUGUUUUUUUCCCCUCUCUUAUUGUGGCAGGUCUGUCUGAGGUAACUCAUAGUCCUGUCUGUUUAUGUAUAAUAGCAGGGAACAAAGCCCAUAGAGCUCCAAGCAUCUGGCAGAACACAUUCAGUGUGAGCAGAUCUCUGCCUCCUGUUGGGACUGGAGUGAUUCCCAAUAUCAGUAUCCUAAAUUUUUCCUUUUAGUCUCUCAGAGUCUGCAGAGAUGGUUCUUCUAAAUCCCACCUGAAGUGUUCAGGCCUAGCUGCUGCAUUCUAGAUGCUGAAAGAGGAGAAGGGUCUGAAGACAUCCAGUGUUGAUUCUGAAGAGUUCCAUGUUUGAAAAAUCUAAGCAAUGUCUCAUUUGAGAGGACCUCAGAAGACUGGAAAGGUCAAUGACUGCCUGCUGGGGCUUCCUCUCCAGGCACAGAUCCCCUUCGUUCCACCUUGGAUCAACUACGGACUGAGAGCUGAGCAGCACCAGCUUCUUACCUGGAACGCCAUGGUGUUGGCAAUGAUCAGGAAGAGCCGCAGGGGAAGCCGUGCUUUGUAACUUCGGUGGCUCCACAGGCGAUGAGCUCCUGCUGUGAUGCCCAAGGCACUCACUAAAUAGUAUGCAUAGGCUGCCAGGACAAGACAGUGCAGGAGUCACCAACAGGCUAAAUUACAUCGAGACAGUAAGAUUCAGUGUUGGGUUCUGGCAUUGCCAAGUUCCAAGGCAAUUCCUUUUCACUGUCAGACAGAGAACGACUCCAUGUCUCUGAAUGCAGGGUACCUUGAGCCCUGGAGAAACUGGCUGUUACUGAAUGAAUGAAUGAACUCAGUGUUCAACUGUGAAGCAAAUAGAUACCCCCAGAGACAUCUUACCCAAGAAAUCCAGAGGCUCUGGUCAACCGUUUCUGUCUGGGAUCCUUUGAUCCUUUGAGGGAAGUUUCUCUCAAGGGAUAGGAGGAUGAUAGAGAAGAUGGUUCUGUUACAAA